GACGAACGCUGGCGGCGUGCUUAACACAUGCAAGUCGAACGGAAAGGCCCUGCUUUUGUGGGGUGCUCGAGUGGCGAACGGGUGAGUUACACGUGAGUAACCUGCCCUUGACUUUGGGAUAACUUCAGGAAAUUGGGGCUAAUACCGGAUAGGAGCUCCUGCUGCAUGGUGGUGGUUGGAAAGUUUCGGCGGUUGGGGAUGGACUCGCGGCUUAUCAGCUUGUUGGUGGGGUAGUGGCUUACCAAGGCUUUGACGGGUAGCCGGCCUGAGAGGGUGACCGGCCACAUUGGGACUGAGAUACGGCCCAGACUCCUACGGGAGGCAGCAGUGGGGAAUAUUGCACAAUGGGCGGAAGCCUGAUGCAGCAACGCCGCGUGCGGGAUGACGGCCUUCGGGUUGUAAACCGCUUUCGCCUGUGACGAAGCGUGAGUGACGGUAAUGGGUAAAGAAGCACCGGCUAACUACGUG
rnacentral:rRNA from 1 species